UACGUAGGUGCAAGCGUUAUCCGGAAUUAUUGGGCGUAAAGCGCGCGCAGGCGGUUUCUUAAGUCUGAUGUGAAAGCCCACGGCUCAACCGUGGAGGGUCAUUGGAAACUGGGGAACUUGAGUGCAGAAGAGAAAAGCGGAAUUCCACGUGUAGCGGUGAAAUGCGUAGAGAUGUGGAGGAACACCAGUGGCGAAGGCGGCUUUUUGGUCUGUAACUGACGCUGAGGCGCGAAAGCGUGGGGAGCAAACAGG
rnacentral:rRNA from 1 species